CAUUUCUCAGUGUACACCUGUGCGCACUAUGGACGGAUUGCUCUAGACAAACCCAAGUAAAAAAAAAAAAUCUCAUCCUUUCAAUAAAUAUUUUGGCAAAUGCUUACUUCUCACCGUUGGGAGGAUCGAGCGUGAAGGAAUGUGUGAUCUUAGGCCGUUUCUACUUCUGAUUGCGCUCAUCACUUGGCUUUUCUUAGCGCCCACGCUGUUAGCUUCAAAAUGCGGCAUUAAUGGAUUUCCACUUGUGAGGAAUAUAAAUGAGCUUCCACAAAGUAACUAUGGUAGAGAAGGCCUCUCUCACAUUACCCUUGCCGGGUCUCUCCUCCACGGAAUGAAAGAGAUUGAGGUGUGGCUUCAAACCUUUUCUCCUGGAUCACGCACACCAAUUCACAGGCACUCAUGCGAAGAGGUUUUUAUUGUUUUGAAGGGUAAUGGUACACUUCAUCUUGCUUCAGACGUACAUGGAAGAUAUCCUGGCCACCCUAAAGUGUUUCCCAUCUUUGCAAACAGCACCUUCAUUAUCCCUGUUAAUGAUGUUCACCAGCCAAGUUUGGACCUGACAACCGGACCAAUCGGGUCGGAUUUGGACGGAUCAAUUCAGAUCGGACUGUUUUCGGAUCAAGUUAUAUUCGGACCGGAUCGGACCAUUUCGGAUCGGACUGAAUUUCGAAUUAUGUUUCGGAUCAUCAUCGGAUUGGGAUGCUUUUGGAUUGGACGGUUCUACAUCAGGAUGGUGGAUUGUCUCAUCUUUAUUAUGUAUGGAGUUGUUACUCCUUUAGUGUGAUGGUUUGUUUGACUAUGAGCUUUUGUUAUGUAUAUAUGGAUCUGCCCCUCUUCGUGCUUUCUAAAGGUAUACAUAACUAAUUUGCAUAGUCAAAACUUGUGCCAAAGAGUACUUGUGAUAGUCAUUUUUUUUUUUAAACGAGUCAAUUUCGGGUUCUUCGGAUCAAAGCCUAAUGGAAGCCAAUAAUUUCUGAUUGCUUCGGGAUUGAGUUACCUUUGGAUCGGAUUUAUUUCGGAUCGACAAGAUUAUAUCAGAUCAUUUUGGAUUUCGGAUGAGUUUCCGAUCAAGAUGAUUUCGGACCGAAUUCGGACCAGACCUGAUCGUUUCGGAUUCGGACCGUCUGGUUCGGACCCAGAUCAGACCACGGAUCGGAUAUUUCGGACCUAGAUCAGAUCACGGAUUGGAUAUUUCGGACCGGAUAUUCGGGUCAGGACUAACUUUGCCAGGUCUGGAAUACUGAUAACAAUGCAGAUCUGCAAAUAGUGGUUAUUGUUUCACGUCCUCCAGUGAAAGUGUUCAUAUAUGAAGACUGGCUUAUGCCUCAUAUUGCUGCGAGAUUGAAGUAUCCAUAUUAUUGGGAUGAAGA